ensembl:snoRNA
UGUUUUGAUAAAAGUACAUUUGAACCCUUUUCCAUCUGAUAGUUGAGGGAAA